CGCCGCCGCCCCUCCUCCCAUCUCUGGCCCCGCGACCCGCCGAACGCCGACCCAAGGACUGCGAGGGCGUCGGGGCAGCGCACAACCCAAACAUCCGGCAAUCGUGCUCGUCUCGCCCAUCCCAAUCGUCAUGAGCAUCCAUGGCGGCGCCUGAAUCCGGCAGCCACGGCCGCAAACAGCACACGCCGCCAGGCGGCACACUCCACGCCUCCACGGCUCCUCCCCUAUUGCGCCGGCGAGUAGCACCGACCGUAGCAUCACUACAUCAACAUACGGUACUCUGCAGGCAGCAGCACCGUUCCAAAAAUAAAGAACAAGCCUGGUGAUUGAAACAUUUUCGCACCCAUUCCUUUUGCUUACAAAAGAAAUAUCAUGGAGUUAAACUGUGUUAUAUCAAGGUAUCACCAUGGCGAGAUCCCCUUUGCUGCUAACCAGGAAGUUGAGAAUCAUGAAGUGAGAGCACUCUGAAGUUUGAUGUGCACUUGACGCUGGACUUCCCCUGUUGAGUUCGAAUUUGAUUCUGCUAAUUCUGAUGUAGUGCCAGCAUGUAGAAGCUACAACAUCUAUGCUGAUGUUCGUAAAUUUCCUUCUUGGUUUAUCUUCAAGUUCCUGCAAAUUGGUAUAGGGUGCAGUGCGCUGGCUCAUGGCCUUGCUGCCCAGGCGCAUCAGAUUAGUAUUAGUAAUCUAUGGAUGGGAAAUGUCCCUCCAUUGUUGAGUUGGCUUGUAAUGACACUAUAACUCUG